UACAGAGGGGGCAAGCGUUGUUCGGAAUUACUGGGCGUAAAGGGCGCGUAGGCGGCCUUCUAAGUCGAACGGGAAAUCCCCGGGCUCAACCCGGGAACUGCGUCCGAUACUGGAAGGCUUGAAUCCGGGAGAGGGAUGCGGAAUUCCAGGUGUAGAGGUGAAAUUCGUAGAUAUCGGGAGGAACACCAGUGGCGAAGGCGGCGAUCUGGGAAGAUACUGACGCUGAGGUGCGAAAGCGUGGGAGCAAACAGG
rnacentral:rRNA from 1 species